CCUACGGGAGGCAGCAGUGAGGAAUAUUGGUCAAUGGACGAGAGUCUGAACCAGCCAAGUAGCGUGAAGGAUGACUGCCCUAUGGGUUGUAAACUUCUUUUAUAUGGGAAUAAAACAGGGUAUGCAUACCCUCUUGUAUGUACCAUAUGAAUAAGGAUCGGCUAACUCCGUGCCAGCAGCCGCGGUAAUACGGAGGAUCCGAGCGUUAUCCGGAUUUAUUGGGUUUAAAGGGAGCGUAGGUGGAUUGUUAAGUCAGUUGUGAAAGUUUGCGGCUCAACCGUAAAAUUGCAGUUGAAACUGGCAGUCGUGAGUACAGUAGAGGUGGGCGGAAUUCGUGGUGUAGCGGUGAAAUGCUUAGAUAGCACGAAGAACUCCGAUUGCGAAGGCAGCUCACUGGACUGCAACUGACACUGAUGCUCGAAAGUGUGGGUAUCAAACAGGAUUAGAUACCCGAGUAGUC
rnacentral:rRNA from 1 species